rnacentral:rRNA from 1 species
CGGAACGGGUGAGUAACGCGUGAGGAACCUGCCUCAAAGAGGGGACAACAGUUGGAAACGACUGCUAAUACCGCAUAAGCCCACGGCUCGGCAUCGAGCAGAGGGAAAAGGAGCAAUCCGCUUUGAGAUGGCCUCGCGUCCGAUUAGCUAGUUGGUGAGGUAACGGCCCACCAAGGCGACGAUCGGUAGCCGGACUGGGAGGUUGAACGGCCACAUUGGGACUGAGACACGGCCCAG